UGUGUCUUGGUUCAGUGCAGUGUGGAAGACUAGUGAUUUUGUUGUUCUAAGCAUUAAAACUGACAACAAGUCACAGUCUACCUCAGGGCA
ensembl:miRNA microRNA 7-3